ensembl:misc_RNA Y_RNA Y RNA
GGCUGGUCCAAGUGCAAUGGUGUUUGCAACUAAGUGAUUACAAACAGUUGUGGAUCUCUUUGUUUCUUCUCCACUCCCACUGCUUUAUUUGACUAAGUUUAAA